AGAUAUAUGAUGUAUAAUUAGGUAGGCCCGUCCUGACAAGUCGGCCAUCAAUCCACCGCAGGAAGGGCCGGUGCUGUCGCCAGCGCUGUGUACACCAGUUUCACGUGGCAAAUGGUAGCAGUGAAAGUAAGCGGAGAUUUUCUCGGAACGUGUUCGACAUAGUGGCUUACUGUUAUGUGCCGCGAUGUCGCGGCGUUUGUUAUGAAGAGCGCUGGUUCAUGUCCUGUGACGAGACAAGGCGCUGUCUGCGGGCGUUGCGCCAGGGUGUGGUCCUCGGGAGCGCAUAGUGCGGGACGCCCUCCAAACAGAAAGCGUCACGGGUCAGCCAGCUUUUACUUGCGCCACAAGUGGCAGGUGAGUGCAGCGGUGCA